UCCGCUUUACAGCGGCAGUCUCGCUAGAGUCCUCGACAUUACUCGUUAGCAACUAGCGACAGGGGUUGCGCUCGUUAAUGGACUUAACCAAACACUUCACAGCACGAGCUGACGACAGCCAUGCAGCACCUGUGCACGUUGUACUCUUGCGAGCCUCAUUGAUGUUUCCACCAACUAAUCCGUGCAUGUCAAACCCAGGUAAGGUUCUUCGCGUUGCUUCGAAUUAAGCAACAUGCUCCACCGCUUGUGCGGGCCCCCGUCAAUUCCUUUGAGUUUCAGCCUUGCGGCCGUACUCCCCAGGCGGGGUACUUAUUGCGUUAGCGACGGCACCGAAGGGGUCGCUCCCCCCGGCGCCUAGUACCCAUCGUUUACGGCGUGGACUAC
rnacentral:misc_RNA from 1 species